rnacentral:misc_RNA from 1 species
GGAAAUCAUAUGCAUUUUCUGGAUGACGAGAUUUUGUGCACCUAUGUGUAUGAUGGAUAAUCUCCUCCACGAUGAACUUUUUAAUUUAUGGUUUUUCAGAAGUCUAGUGUUGGAAACACCAUAUGCAUAUUCUAGAGUAAGUGGGCAUCACUUUGUAUUGGAUGCUUUGUUGUAGAAGCUGGCCGCUGGGCUACUGGCUAGGCAAGGUAGAUAUUACCGUGCAAAGAUAUCAUACGAGCUGAGCUUGUUAAUGAUUUUGAU